AUUUAAAAAGUAUUCUCUGCUCAAUGAAAUUUAAAUAGCCGCAGUAUCUUGACUGUGCUAAGGUAGCAAAAUAGUUAGUUUUUUAAUAGAAAACCGGCAUGAAAGAGUUGACAAUCUUUUCUUUUUCUUUGGUGUGAAAAGCAAACUUAAAAAUAAAGUUAAAACUCUUUAUUAUAAUUAGCCAGACGACAAGACCCCGUGAAACUUUUGUUUAACUGGGGCGGUAAUUAAACUACACAACCAGGAUAAGAAAGAACCUUGAGAAUAUAAAAUAAGUUACUCCGGGGGUAACAGCACAAUCCUUUUAUAGAGACCUAAUCGACACAAGGGACUUGUGACCUCGAUGUUGAAUUGAGGAUAAUUAAGGAGCAGCAUCUUUAAUUUUUGGUC
rnacentral:rRNA from 1 species